rnacentral:rRNA from 1 species
GUGUCAGCAGCCGCGGUAAUACGGAGGGGGCUAGCGUUGUUCGGAAUUACUGGGCGUAAAGCGCACGUAGGCGGACCGGUAAGUUGGAGGUGAAAUCCCAGGGCUCAACCUUGGAACUGCCUUCAAAACUAUCGGUCUGGAGUUCGAGAGAGGUGAGUGGAAUUCCGAGUGUAGCGGUGAAAUUCGUAGAUAUUCGGAGGAACACCAGUGGCGAAGGCGGCUCACUGGCUCGAUACUGACGCUGAGGUGCGAAAGCGGGGGGAGCAAACAGGAUUAGAUACCCUGGUAGUCCACGCCGUAAACGAUGAAUGCCAGUCGUCGGGUAGCAUGCUAUUCGGUGACACACCUAACGGAUUAAGCAUUCCGCCUGGGGAGUACGGUCGCAAGAUUAAAACUUAAAUGAAUUGACGG